rnacentral:rRNA from 1 species
AGUGGCAGACGGGUGAGUAACAUGUACGUAUCUGCCCUUUGGCCUGGAAUAACACGAGGAAACUUGUGCUAAUACCGGAUAAGUCUUUACGGAGAAAGCUUUAUGCACCAUUGGAUGAGCCUGCACUUGAUUAGUUUGUUGGUGGGGUAAUGGCCUACCAAGACUGUGAUCAAUAGCUGAUUUGAGAGGAUGAUCAGCCACAUUGGGACUGAGACACGGCCCAAACUCCUACGGGAGGCAGCAGUGGGGAAUCUUGCACAAUGGAGGAAACUCUGAUGCAGCGAUGCCGCGUGAGUGAAGAAGGCCCUUGGGUUGUAAAGCUCUUUCGUCGGGGAAGAAAAUGACUGUACCCGAAUAAGAAGGUCCGGCUAACUUCGUGCCAGCAGCCGCGGUAAUACGAAGGGACCUAGCGUAGUUCGGAAUUACUGGGCUUAAAGAGUUCGUAGGUGGUUGAAAAAGUUAGUGGUGAAAUCCCAGAGCUUAACUCUGGAACUGCCAUUAAAACUUUUCAGCUAGAGUAUGAUAGAGGAAAGCAGAAUUUCUAGUGUAGAGGUGAAAUUCGUAGAUAUUACAAAGAAUACCAAUUGCGAAGGCCAGCUUUCUGGAUCAUUACUG